GGGCGCACGGUGGAUGCCUUGACACUAGGAGUCGAUGAAGGACGGGACUAACGCCGAUAUGCUUCGGGGAGCUGUAAGUAAGCUUUGAUCCGAAGAUUUCCGAAUGGGGAAACCCACCAUACGUAAUGGUAUGGUAUCCUUAUCUGAAUACAUAGGAUAAGGAAGACAGACCCAGGGAACUGAAACAUCUAAGUACCUGGAGGAAGAGAAAGCAAAUGCGAUUUCCUGAGUAGCGGCGAGCGAAACGGAACAUAGCCCAAACCAAGAGGCUUGCCUCUUGGGGUUGUAGGACAUUCUAUACGGAGUUACAAAGGAACGAGGUAGACGAAGCGACCUGGAAAGGUCCGUCGUAGAGGGUAACAACCCCGUAGUCGAAACUUCGUUCUCUCUUGAAUGUAUCCUGAGUACGGCGGAACACGUGAAAUUCCGUCGGAAUCUGGGAGGACCAUCUCCCAAGGCUAAAUACUCCCUAGUGAUCGAUAGUGAACCAGUACCGUGAGGGAAAGGUGAAAAGCACCCCGGAAGGGGAGUGAAAGAGAUCCUGAAACCGUGUGCCUACAAAUAGUCAGAGCCCGUUAACGGGUGAUGGCGUGCCUUUUGUAGAAUGAACCGGCGAGUUACGAUCCCGUGCGAGGUUAAGCUGAAGAGGCGGAGCCGCAGCGAAAGCGAGUCUGAAUAGGGCGUUUAGUACGUGGUCGUAGACCCGAAACCAGGUGAUCUACCCAUGUCCAGGGUGAAGUUCAGGUAACACUGAAUGGAGGCCCGAACCCACGCACGUUGAAAAGUGCGGGGAUGAGGUGUGGGUAGCGGAGAAAUUCCAAUCGAACCUGGAGAUAGCUGGUUCUCCCCGAAAUAGCUUUAGGGCUAGCCUUAAGUGUAAGAGUCUUGGAGGUAGAGCACUGAUUGGACUAGGGGUCCUCAUCGGAUUACCGAAUUCAGUCAAACUCCGAAUGCCAAUGACUUAUCCUUAGGAGUCAGACUGCGAGUGAUAAGAUCCGUAGUCAAAAGGGAAACAGCCCAGACCGCCAGCUAAGGUCCCAAAGUGUGUAUUAAGUGGAAAAGGAUGUGGAGUUGCUUAGACAACUAGGAUGUUGGCUUAGAAGCAGCCACCAUUUAAAGAGUGCGUAAUAGCUCACUAGUCGAGUGACUCUGCGCCGAAAAUGUACCGGGGCUAAAUACACCACCGAAGCUGCGGAUUGAUACCAAUGGUAUCAGUGGUAGGGGAGCGUUCUAAGGACAGUGAAGUCAGACCGGAAGGACUGGUGGAGUGCUUAGAAGUGAGAAUGCCGGUAUGAGUAGCGAAAGACGGGUGAGAAUCCCGUCCACCGAAUGCCUAAGGUUUCCUGAGGAAGGCUCGUCCGCUCAGGGUUAGUCAGGACCUAAGCCGAGGCCGACAGGCGUAGGCGAUGGACAACAGGUUGAUAUUCCUGUACCACCUCUUUAUCGUUUGAGCAAUGGAGGGACGCAGAAGGAUAGAAGAAGCGUGCGAUUGGUUGUGCACGUCCAAGCAGUUAGGCUGAUAAGUAGGCAAAUCCGCUUAUCGUGAAGGCUGAGCUGUGAUGGGGAAGCUCCUUAUGGAGCGAAGUCUUUGAUUCCCCGCUGCCAAGAAAAGCUUCUAGCGAGAUAAAAGGUGCCUGUACCGCAAACCGACACAGGUAGGCGAGGAGAGAAUCCUAAGGUGUGCGAGAGAACUCUGGUUAAGGAACUCGGCAAAAUGACCCCGUAACUUCGGGAGAAGGGGUGCUUUCUUAACGGAAAGCCGCAGUGAAUAGGCCCAAGCGACUGUUUAGCAAAAACACAGCUCUCUGCGAAGCCGUAAGGCGAAGUAUAGGGGGUGACACCUGCCCGGUGCUGGAAGGUUAAGGAGAGGGGUUAGCGUAAGCGAAGCUCUGAACUGAAGCCCCAGUAAACGGCGGCCGUAACUAUAACGGUCCUAAGGUAGCGAAAUUCCUUGUCGGGUAAGUUCCGACCCGCACGAAAGGUGUAACGAUUUGGGCACUGUCUCAACCAGAGACUCGGUGAAAUUAUAGUACCUGUGAAGAUGCAGGUUACCCGCGACAGGACGGAAAGACCCCGUGGAGCUUUACUGUAGCCUGAUAUUGAAUUUUGGUACAGUUUGUACAGGAUAGGCGGGAGCCUUUGAAACCGGAGCGCUAGCUUCGGUGGAGGCGCUGGUGGGAUACCGCCCUGACUGUAUUGAAAUUCUAACCUACGGGUCUUAUCGACCCGGGAGACAGUGUCAGGUGGGCAGUUUGACUGGGGCGGUCGCCUCCUAAAGUGUAACGGAGGCGCCCAAAGGUUCCCUCAGAAUGGUUGGAAAUCAUUCGUAGAGUGCAAAGGCAUAAGGGAGCUUGACUGCGAGACCUACAAGUCGAGCAGGGACGAAAGUCGGGCUUAGUGAUCCGGUGGUUCCGCAUGGAAGGGCCAUCGCUCAACGGAUAAAAGCUACCCCGGGGAUAACAGGCUUAUCUCCCCCAAGAGUCCACAUCGACGGGGAGGUUUGGCACCUCGAUGUCGGCUCAUCGCAUCCUGGGGCUGUAGUCGGUCCCAAGGGUUGGGCUGUUCGCCCAUUAAAGCGGUACGCGAGCUGGGUUCAGAACGUCGUGAGACAGUUCGGUCCCUAUCCGUCGUGGGCGUAGGAAUUUUGAGAGGAGCUGUCCUUAGUACGAGAGGACCGGGAUGGACGCACCGCUGGUGUACCAGUUGUUCUGCCAAGGGCAUAGCUGGGUAGCUAUGUGCGGAAGGGAUAAGUGCUGAAAGCAUCUAAGCAUGAAGCCCCCCUCAAGAUGAGAUUUCCCAUAGCGUAAGCUAGUAAGAUCCCUGAAAGAUGAUCAGGUUGAUAGGUUCGAGGUGGAAGCAUGGUGACAUGUGGAGCUGACGAAUACUAAUAGAUCGAGGACUUAACCAU
rnacentral:rRNA from 1 species